UAAUACAGAGGUCCCAAGCGUUGUUCGGAUUCACUGGGCGUAAAGGGUGCGUAGGCGGUCGGGUAAGUCUGACGUGAAAUCUUCAAGCUCAACUUGGAAACUGCGUCGGAUACUAUUCGGCUAGAGGAAUGGAGGGGAGACUGGAAUACUUGGUGUAGCAGUGAAAUGCGUAGAUAUCAAGUGGAACACCAGUGGCGAAGGCGAGUCUCUGGACAUUUCCUGACGCUGAGGCACGAAAGCCAGGGGAGCAAACGGG
rnacentral:rRNA from 1 species